GAAUUCAAGCAAUAGCACGUUAAAUGCAUCCGUUCCCAUCGGAUCACUAAAGUUAAGCAACGUUACGCGUGGUUGGUAUUUGGACGAGUGGCCGUCUAAGAAAACACGGGUGAUACUCA
rfam:Asian citrus Psyllid, Diaphorina citri - Florida Strain, whole genome shotgun sequence.